UGAAUCAUCGAAUCUUUGAACGCACCUUGCGCCCUUUGGUAUUCCGAGGGGCAUGCCUGUUUGAGUGUCAUUAA
rnacentral:rRNA from 1 species